GAGCGCCGUAGCAAUACGGAGCGGCAGACGGGAGAGUAACACGUGGGAACGUGCCCUUUGGUUCGGAACAACCCCAGGGAAACUUGGGCUAAUACCGGAUAAGCCCUUACGGGGAAAGAUUUAUCGCCGAAGGAUCGGCCCGCGUCUGAUUAGCUAGUUGGUGGGGUAAUGGCCCACCAAGGCGACGAUCAGUAGCUGGUCUGAGAGGAUGAUCAGCCUCACUGGGACUGAGACACGGCCCAGACUCCUACGGGAGGCAGCAGUGGGGAAUAUUGGACAAUGGGCGCAAGCCUGAUCCAGCCAUGCCGCGUGGGUGAUGAAGGCCCUAGGGUUGUAAAGCCCUUUCGGCGGGGAAGAUAAUGACGGUACCCGCAGAAGAAGCCCCGGCUAACUCCGUG
rnacentral:rRNA from 1 species